rfam:Sorghum bicolor cultivar BTx623 chromosome 9, whole genome shotgun sequence.
GUAGUCGGAUUCGCAUCAAUCCACAUGUGUUGGGGUGGAUUGGGUUGGAACUUAAACUAAAUUCCACCUCAAUCCACUCCAACACAUAUGGAUUGAAAUGAAUACGAUA